rnacentral:rRNA from 1 species
AAUAAACGCUGGCGGCGUGCCUAACACAUGCAAGUCGAGCGAGAAAGCUUCUUCGGAAGUUAGUAAAGCGGCGAACGGGUGAGUAACGCGUAGGAAUCUACCUUUUAGUGAAGAAUACCCUCGAGAAAUCGAGGUUAAUACUGCAUAAGUCCCUCACGGGAGAAAGGCGGCCUCUUUGCUGUCGCUAAAAGAUGAGCCUGCGUACUAUUAGCUAGUUGGUAGGGUAAUGGCCUACCAAGGCGAUGAUGGUUAGCCGGCCUGAGAGGGUGUUCGGCCACACUGGGACUGAGACACGGCCCAGACUCCUACGGGAGGUAGCAGUGGGGAAUAUUGGACAAUGGGGGGAACCCUGAUCCAGCCAUGCCGCGUGUGUGAAGAAGGCCUUAUGGUUGUAAAGCACUUUAAGCGAGGAGGAGGCUCUUUUGGUUAAUACCCAAGAUGAGUGGACGUUACUCGCAGAAUAAGCACCGGCUAACUCUGUGCCAGCCGCCGCUGUAA